GAUUUUGUUAUUUUAAAUAAAUAGUUUUAUAAACUGGUGUUAUUAUCAAUCUAACUUAAGUAUUCAAAGUAUUCGGUUUACAACUUUUAUAAUUCUUCGCCCCGUGUUUACUUUCGGUUUCAUUUUGGAAACGUGAGACAGUUGCUUGCAAGUUCAGCUAGUAGUUGGUGACUGCGAGGCAUUCAAGUACAUAUUUUAUAAACAUUUAAAAUGGACGGUUCUUUGCGAGACGAUGGCAAUAGUGACAAGCAUUUAGAAAAAAGAGUAGACAAACUUGGAGAGCUAGGCCUAGAUCGUACUCUGAAAAGAAAAAUCCACCAAAGAAAGCAAAGUGUCCAGCUGUCAGCUGAUGUACAAGAAUUUUGAGAAGCCCAGUCACAAGUUACAUCAGAUGAUGGCGAUUCAAUAAAUUAUUAUAUUGAAGAACGAAGUAUGGAAGAACCUGCGAAUGUUGAAGCGGUACAACGAUUAAUCGAAGAGGCAUUAUCUUUUACAGUGAAGAUGAUGACAGUGAUUUAAUUUCCAAUGAGAAAUGGCAUGAUCUAAUGGACUUUCCAGAAAUGAUAGCUGAUGAUUGAAUUUUUGUAUUGUAAAUAAAAUUGUAUAAAAUUUAACCUGCA